UUUACUUGAAUGUCAGGUUGGGUUUUGUGCCCGAGUCUUUCAUAAUUUGCCAUGUCAAGGGUACAUGUAUGUGGUCAUGGUAUUGAACAAGAGUAGUUUUGAGGUCACCUAGGUUUUGUGGUUAAAUCUUAUCAUAUUUGCCACCCCAAGGGUAUAUGUUGUACCUAUAUGUGAUCAUGAUAUCAAACAAGAUUAAUAUUUUAAUCAUUGAUAUUACAGCCCAAGGUGACCUAUAGAGCAUG
rnacentral:lncRNA from 1 species